UACGAAGGGUGCAAGCGUUACUCGGAAUUACUGGGCGUAAAGCGUGCGUAGGUGGUUCGUUAAGUCUGAUGUGAAAGCCCUGGGCUCAACCUGGGAAUGGCAUUGGAAACUGGCGACCUAGAGUGCGGUAGAGGUAGUGGAAUUCCCGUGGUAGCAGUGAAAUGCGUAGAGAUCGGGAGGAACAUCUGUGGCGAAGGCGACUGCCUGGACCAGCACUGACACUGAGGCACGAAAGCGUGGGGAGCAACAGG
rnacentral:rRNA from 1 species